GAUCCUGGCUCAGGAUGAACGCUGGCGGCGUGCUUAACACAUGCAAGUCGAACGGAACUACUUUAAUGAGAUUCUUCGGAAAGGAUUUGAUUUAGUUUAGUGGCGGACGGGUGAGUAACGCGUGGGUAACCUGCCUCAUACAGGGGGAUAACAGUUGGAAACGGCUGUUAAUACCGUAUAAGCGCACAGUACCGCAUGGUACAGUGUGAAAAACUCUGGUGGUAUGAGAUGGACCCGCGUCUGAUUAG
rnacentral:rRNA from 1 species